rnacentral:lncRNA from 1 species
UGUGUCCUCUGUGAACUGACAGAUUCUCCUUGGAGUCCCAGCAUUCAUAUCUCAGCUGGUGAUCUGAAGGAGAAGCAGUCUGUCUCUAUAACCUGCUCAGCUCUCACUCCCUGUCCACACUCCCCUCCUCAACUCACCUGGAAUCUCCACCCAAACUCUCACAGUGAAACAGAGGAGAACACAGAUGGAACCUUUACAACUAAACUGCAGCAGAACAUCACUCUGUCACACACACAUGAUGGAUACAACAUCAGCUGCUCUGCCACAUAUCCUGUGAAUGGAGGACGAAACAAGACAGCAGAGACACAGCAGACUCUCAGUGUUUCAUGUAAGUGAUCCUGUCAGCACAUCAUGGUUCAGCUGUUUGAGAUGAAGAAAGUUCAUGUCUGUCACAUCUUCCUCAGAUGCUCCUAGAAACACCUCAGCAUCCAUCAGUCCAUCAGGUUUGCUGUCAGCAGGUAUCUGGGUGAACCUGACCUGCUCCAGCAGAGCCAAGCCUCCCAUCAGCAGCUUCACCUGGUUCAAGAACACCACAGAUGGACCCAAGAAUGUGUCUGAAAGAGACUUUUACAGCUUCAAUGUCACAGACUCCUCUGCUGGAGGAGAUUAUUACUGUGUGGCUUCAAAUGAACUUGGUAAUGAAACAUCAAAAGUGGUCCGUCUGACUGUUGAGGUUAAAGGUCAGUAUGUUUUCUUAAAUGAUUAACUUGAUGUGAAGAACCUCAUCAGUGUUCCUAUUAGUCACUGGUUCUGUUUGUCCAUCAGAUAAGGGGCCGGUUGGCUUCUUACGAUGGGGCCCAGUUCUUGGAGGAGUCAUUGGGAUCAUGGUACUCAUCUGCUUCAUCGUGUAUGUUCGGAGGUUAAAGUCAAGACAGAAAACCGAAGAACAGAAUCAGACUGACACAAGCGAAGAGCUGGUCUAUGCAGAGGCUUCAAGAAGAGCAGAAGAAGAAGAAGAAGAAGAAGAGGAAGAGGAGGAGGAAGAAGAAGAAAACAUCCAUUAUGGAGAGAUCGACUUCUCCAAACACAGACCAGGCCAGUGCUCUGGCCCGAUGUCUGACAGCAGACAGGAGCUGCAUACAGUGUACGCACAGAUCAAUGUCAACCAGCCAGCAAACAGGCUGAUACAUACUACUGAAGCCAAAGAGGAACUCUACGCUCAAGUGAAGAAGAAAAAAUAAGAACGGUUUCAUUUGUGUAACAAAUUUCAUUACAUGCAUGACUGCACAUGCAGAAAGAAGCCGUUUCUGCAUGUGUAGGCUGGUGUUCCCGCUGCAGCCUGACAGACUUUAGACUUUCAGACUUUUUUUAAGUAAAAACUCUUUAAAAAAACAUGUUAGAGUUACAAACGUGUCAAACAGAGGUCAUGUAAAUGUGUAAGUGCAAGUUGUUAACAUGUGUUAUACUGCCUGUUUUGAUAAAGGAGGAACAUUGAGACUGUCACUUGUGUUCGGGCAGCGUGAGAGCAGGCGUCCAAUGUUCACCCGCUCGUGACCUCAGGUCAUCUCAGGUCAUCUCAGGUCAUCUCAGCCUAACUUUCAAAAAGCAUCCAUUUCAUAUUUUUAAUGGUUAUUUUGAUUCUGUUUCUGCUUGUUUAUUUUUUAAAUGUAUGUAGAAGAAUGAAUUUAUUUCUGUAUAAAUAAAUGUAUUAGAGAGC